rnacentral:rRNA from 1 species
ACGUAGGGUCCGAGCGUUGUCCGGAGUUACUGGGCGUAAAGCGCGCGCAGGCGGCGGUGUUGGCCCGGCGUGAAAGCCCCCGGCUCAACUGGGGAGGGUCACGCGAUACUGAUCGACUCGAAGGCAGGAGAGGGUAGUGGAAUUCCCGGUGUAGUGGUGAAAUGCGUAGAUAUCGGGAGGAACACCAGUGGCGAAGGCGACUACCUGGCCUGUUCUUGACGCUGAGGCGCGAAAGCUAGGGGAGCAAACGGGA